rnacentral:rRNA from 1 species
UACGGGGGGGGCAAGCGUUGUUCGGAAUUACUGGGCGUAAAGGGCUCGUAGGCGGCCAACUAAGUCAGAUGUGAAAUCCCCAGGCUCAACCUGGGAACUGCGUCCGAUACUGGAUGGCUUGAAUCCGGGAGAGGGAUGCAGAAUUCCAGGUGUAGCGGUGAAAUGCGUAGAUAUCUGGAGGAAUACCGGUGGCGAAGGCGGCAUCCUGGACCGGCAUUGACGCUGAGGAGCGAAAGCCAGGGGAGCAAACGGG